rnacentral:rRNA from 1 species
UACAGAGGUCUCAAGCGUUGUUUCGGAUUCAUUGGGCGUAAAGGGUGCGUAGGUGGCGCUGUAAGUCGGGUGUGAAAUUUCGGAGCUUAACUCCGAAACUGCAUUCGAUACUGCGGUGCUUGAGGACUGGAGAGGAGACUGGAAUUCAUGGUGUAGCAGUGAAAUGCGUAGAGAUCAUGAGGAAGACCAGUGGCGAAGGCGGGUCUCUGGACAGUUACUGACGCUGAGGCACGAAGGCCAGGGGAGCAAACGGG